rnacentral:rRNA from 1 species
UACGGAGGGUGCAAACGUUGCUCGGAAUCAUUGGGCGUAAAGCGCACGUAGGCGGCCCGUUAAGUCGGGUGUGAAAGCCCAGGGCCCAACCCUGGAAGUGCAUUCGAUACUGGCAGGCUUGAAUAUGGAAGAGGGUCGCGGAAUUCCCGGUGUAGAGGUGAAAUUCGUAGAUAUCGGGAGGAACACCAGUGGCGAAGGCGGCGACCUGGGCCAAUAUUGACGCUGAGGUGCGAAAGCGUGGGGAGCAAACAGG